UACGAAGGGGGCAAGCGUUGUUCGGAAUUACUGGGCGUAAAGGGCGCGCAGGCGGCCAAUCAAGUCAGAUGUGAAAGCCCCGGGCUCAACCUGGGAACUGCGCUCGAAACGGCGGAACUAGAGUUCGGGAGAGGAGAGUGGAAUUCCCAGUGUAGAGGUGAAAUUCGUAGAUAUUGGGAAGAACACCGGUGGCGAAGGCGGCGCUCUGGACCGAGACUGACGCUGAGGCGCGAAAGCGUGGGGAGCAAACAGG
rnacentral:rRNA from 1 species